GAUGAACGCUAGCUACAGGCUUAACACAUGCAAGUCGAGGGACCGGCGCACGGGGGAGUAACACGUAUCCAACCUGCCCUUUACUCGGGGAUAGCCUUUCGAAAGAAAGAUUAAUACCCGAUGUAAAGGAUGGGGAUGCGUUCCAUUAGGUUGUUGGUGAGGUAACGGCUCACCAAGCCUUAGAUGGAUAGGGGUUCUGAGAGGAAGGUCCCCCCCAUUGGACCUGAGACACGGUCCAAACUCCUACGGGAGGGAGCCGUGAGGAAUAUUGGUCAAUGUGCGUUAGCCUGAACCAGCCAAGUAGCGGGAAGGAUGAAGGCUUUUGGAUCGUAAAUUUCUUUUAUAUAAGAAUAUGUAUUAUAUGAAUAAGGAUCGGCUAACUCCGUGCCAGCAGCCGCGGUAAUAC
rnacentral:rRNA from 1 species